rnacentral:lncRNA from 1 species
GUGAUUAAUCAUUUUUAAAAAAUAAAUUCAAAACUUCCUCUUCUUAAAUCUUUAAGUGGUAUCAAGAAAAAUUUUCAAACAAAUAAUUAUUUGAGUUAAUUCUCAAAACAAUUGGUAUGAGGAUGAUUAUUUUCACAAUCGGUAUCAAGAAAAUUCUUCUUAAAAAAAUUUUUAUACUUGGUAUCAAGCAACUCAUUCUUGCCUUGCAUUAUAUUGCUUUAUCUUUGAAAAAAGAAAAGAAUAUUUUAAUCUCAAAUAUAUUUUGCAUUGAUACAUUCUUGAUAUGAUACUAUUUAAGACAAAUUCGAAAAAUUCAUAACUUUUCUGAAUUUAAUGAAAUGAUACCACUUAAAGAAAAGAAAAAGAUAUCUUUUGAAAAGAUAAAACAUAACUUAUGCUUGAUUUUGAUACUCCAAAAUCUUGAGUUUUGAAUAAACUCUAUCUUUCUUGAAUCUUUUUUAAAGCUCAAAGCAUUUUUCUUUUAACUGAAUUUGAGAAGUAUUUUUGAAUCUAUACUUUUGACAAAGGGGAGUAGUGUUAUCAAGUUUGUAUAAAAUUUAAUGUUACACAAAAUGAAACAUAUUUUCUAAAACUGGCCAAGUUUGAUUUAAAUUUAAUAAGAAAACAAGUUUCAUUUUCUUCACUCUCAAUCCUUGAUUCUUUAGAAAUCUUAUUCUGAAUUUGAAAGUCAAACUCAAAAUUAAUCUGAAAGGGAGAGAACUCAAAUCAAAUUCUAAAAAUUGAAUUCUGAAUUUGAGUCUUUGAUUGAUUUUGUUGUUGUCAAAAGAGGAGAGAGUAUGUGUAAUAAAUAUAUGCCUACAAUGCUUUUAAUUUGAUUGGCACGCUCA